rnacentral:misc_RNA from 1 species
UUUCGCGUUUGAAAAGAUGUUCCUUUUCAACUGCUCAAAAGGCCGCUCUGCAACUCCAGGAGCAAUCGAUGUAUUCAAGUAUUUUUAUGUAUUUAUCCAAUUCUUUUCGAUAUAUUAUUCCUUAAUCUCAGGUUUCAUUUGAAUGGCUACUCGUUUGAAAACUCCUUGUUCAUCUUCUUCAACCAACUUCUCUCCUUCCUCGUCUUUCAACAAUGAGGCAAAACUCUUCACUAGAUUUAUUUCCAUGCCAAGAAAAUAUGGUCUCUCCACAUGGGUGUCUCAUAUUCAUUCAAAAACGCAUGCCAGAAAGCAUUUCCUCCUCAACUCCUCUAACGAGCAUCCUCUAAAUGCUUUCUCUUUGCAGGAUGGUUUAGCUGGAAAUCCUCUAGCCAAAGAACGUAUUGAACCUCCAGGCAAAGAGAGGCCAUCCAUUCCCAUGUCAGAAGCCGAGAAAGAAGAGUCUACUCUCAGCAUUACUGUUGUUGGAGCUUCAGGAGACCUUGCUAAUAAGAAGAUUUUUCCUGCACUUUUUGCUCUUUUCUAUGAAGAUUGUCUACCUGAGGUUCUAAAUCUUGCUACUUUAUUGAGUUUUGCAUUGGGAUAAUGCAGUUAAAUUAAUAUGUUUCAGUUUAGUAAUAGUGUCCAAUUCCAUAAGUCGAUGGCUGCUGACCAGUUUCUGUUUUCUCUUUAAUGUUUUCUACAAAGAAUUUUACAGUAUUUGGUUUUGCUCGAACUAAGUUAACUGAUGAGGAGCUAAGGAACAUGAUUAGUAAGACAUUGACUUGCAGAAUUGACAAGAGGUUUUUGACAUUGCUAUUCUAUUUUGUACGGGCACUACUUAAUUAUUUGAACUUUCUUUUCAUUAUAACUAUUAACACAUAAGAGGAUGUACAGGGAAAAUUGUGACGACAAAAUGGAUCAGUUCUUGAAAAGAUGUUUUUAUCAGGCAGGUCAGUACAACUCUGAGGAAAGUUUUCUGGAAUUGGACAAAAAGCUGAAAGAGAAAGAGGUGAUGUAUUAUGAAUCUUGUAAAAGCUUGUGCAGCAUUAAAUGUUUAUUGUGUGUUUUACAAUCUCCUUUGGGGUAAAUGCAGCAAUUUGGUGGUCAUCAAUAGAUUUUAGCGGCAGAUGUUAAAAUUGAUUUAGACUUUUUUACCAAAAUGAAUCAGCAAUUGGGGUGCUCAGGAUAUCUGAUAAACACAUCCUACUGCCCUCUAAUUACAUCAAUUAUUAUGCUCUAAAUUUAGUUUUUAAGGCUGGUGAUUUUAUGUCAGUGUUGUAUAUUUGAAAUCCCAUUGCUUUCUAAUUUUAUUUUUUUAGUUCCAUAUAGCUGAUUUCACCAUGAGCAGCUCCAGCUGUCAGGAGUGUCUCCAACUCUUUGCAUUUGUCUGUGCCAGUGGGGAUGGAAAUCCAACUUCAUAUCUAAUGUACACAACUAGUAAACUUCUAGCAAUGAGAAAUUGGCUUAUGAGAACCAACUUCAUGUCUAAUGCAUGUUUUAGUUUCAAAACUUUUUAGAGUAACUAUUGAUCUUCAAUAUCUUUUAAAAGAAAUAAUAAAAAAAGGUUGGGUAAAUUCUUUUAAUUUUAUCAUGGAAAACAGGAGUCUAAUAUAAUUUUGUUAUUGAGAUCAUCUUGAGAUAGAGUAAACAUGACGUAUUAAGUUGAUUUUCUCUUUGGUGAUGAUAAUGAACAGUUGAGAUUUUAUUAGUCCUUUCUAAAAUCUAAGUUUUGAAAAAAGAUCCCAAUUUUUCAUUUUGAAAUAUCAUAGUUGAAAUUGUGAAAAUUGAAUAGCGUAUGUUUGUACUAACACUAAAGAAUCAAAUCUUAAUUUUGAAUCCAAAUAGAAGUUUUCUUUUAUCUGCUGGCAUUGCCUCAAAUAAUUAUGUGGCUGGUGGAAUUCUUUAUUGCAUUAUCAAUUCUCUUAUAAAAUGUCAUCAGUGUGAAUUUAUUUAUUUAAUAAAGAUUUUCUUGAAGAAACUAAUUAAAAAUGAAUGCUUUUUUUUAGGCUGGAAAAUUGUCGAAUAGGCUGUUUUACUUAUCUAUCCCUCCAAACAUAUUUGUGGACGUGGUAAGAUGUGCCAGUCAUAGAGCUUCUUCUACGAAUGGGUGGACAAGAGUGAUUGUUGAGAAGCCAUUUGGUCGUGACUCUGAAUCAUCUGGUGAGCUAACCAGAUGUUUGAAGCAGUAUCUGACUGAAGAUCAAAUAUUCAGGUUCAUUUCACUUAGUUGCCACUCAUUUCAAAAUAUUCAUAAUUAUCAGAGAAGUCUAUUUAUGUUCAAAAUUUAUUAGGAUUGAUCAUUACUUGGGCAAGGAGCUUGUUGAGAAUCUAUCAGUCCUUCGUUUCUCAAAUCUUGUUUUUGAGCCCUUAUGGUCAAGGAACUACAUCCGUAAUGUACAACUGAUAUUUUCUGAAGAUUUUGGUACGGAGGGACGUGGAGGGUGAGUUAUUUAUGUUAAUGGUGAUAUAUCGUUGUUAAACAAAGAUUGUUCUUAGAAGGAUGAAAUUCUUGAGUUCUACUUUUUAAUUCAUUUGAUCAGAUACUUUGACAAUUAUGGAAUCAUAAGAGACAUAAUGCAAAACCAUCUGUUACAAAUACUAGCAUUAUUUGCAAUGGAGACGCCAGUUAGCUUAGAGGCUGAGGAUAUUAGGAAUGAAAAGGUUAAGGUUCUGAGGUCAAUGAAACCACUGAAACUUGAAGAUGUAAUUGUGGGCCAAUAUAAGGGGCAUGGCAAGGGUGGUAAAUCAUAUCCUGCUUAUACAGAUGAUCCAACAGUGCCAAAGGAUAGUCUUACACCAACAUUUGCAGCUGCUGCUCUUUUCAUUAACAACGCCAGAUGGGAUGGAAUUCCUUUUCUUAUGAAAGCAGGCAAAGCUCUUCAUGUUAAGCGAGCGGAGAUCAGAGUGCAGUUCAGACAUGUUCCAGGUAACUUGUACAAGCGGAAUUUCGGAACUGAUUUAGAUAAGGCCACAAAUGAGCUUGUACUACGUGUACAGCCUGAUGAAGCUAUAUAUCUGAAGAUCAACAAUAAAGUUCCUGGUCUUGGAAUGAGAUUAGAUCGCAGUGACCUAAAUUUGCUAUACCGAGCAAGGUAUCCGAAAGAAAUACCAGAUGCAUAUGAGAGGCUUCUUUUAGAUGCAAUAGAAGGAGAGCGAAGGUUGUUUAUCAGAAGCGAUGAGCUCGAUGCUGCUUGGGCACUAUUCACACCAUUGUUAAGGGAACUUGAGGAAAAGAAGAUUUUUCCAGAGCUUUACCCUUAUGGUAGCAGAGGUCCAGUGGGAGCACAUUAUCUUGCUGCAAAACAUAAUGUUAGAUGGGGAGAUCUUAGCGGUGAGAUUUAUGAAUAGAGGAGUUUAUUGGAGCUGUGGUGUAUAGGUGGUGGAGAGCAUUUUAAAGAACUGAAUGAUAUAAAUUAAGAUCAAAGUGGUAAUCAUUAUGUAUUGUUGAAUAAUAAGCAAAUGAAUGAUAUAGUUAAAAUCAAUGAUGGUUAAAUUAAAA